UGAAAUAAUACAAUAUGAAAUGUCAGGGAAGCUGUUUUUUAAGCUCUAAAAUAUUGCUUUGGCUAGAAAUUGCAGUCUCAGACUUUUGUUGAAAAUCCUGUUGGUGAGAGAAGUGGGAAACUUUUAGAAGACAUGUGUGACCUAUUAAGGUUUUCCUAACCAAAGUGGUUCCCAAAAAAUAACCAACCAGGAAACACGAGGGAAACAUUCUGCUUUUGCCUGGUUCAGUCCGACCCUUUCUCGAAGACGUUCUGCAUUUAUUUGGUUUGUAAAUGUGACACCACAAAGCACCUACAGUUGACAGAACUGAAAUGCUAAUCCUAAAGUCAAUGAAGAACUGAAACAAAGGCUGCCGUCCCCUGUAAAGCACCAUUGUUCAGAGACCACACCACAACUUGGAUCCUCUUUAGUUGAAACUACCUCAGCUACAUCCCAGUGUCACAGUUUAUCAAAAGCCCUGGAGGAGAAACUCAUACAAGCAUCUAAGACUCCCAAGCCCAGAGAAGGUUUGACGCUCAGACUCCCACCACCCCCGCCCGUGCCAGGCCCAGUUGCAGUUGACUUGAGAAUCAUGGAGGAGGAGAGAUUGUCUCCACAGAGACCCGCAGCACAGCAAAAGCAGGAUAUUACCGAGACAGCCAGCAGUCCGGUCCACACACCUCAAGUCAGCAGGGCAGGGUCUGCCACACUCAGGUCAGGAGAACAGAGACUCACACACACGGACACACUCACUUACACUGAGUAAUAACAAUCCAAUCCUGAAAAAUUUAGUCUAAUUUUAGUUUGCAG
ensembl:lncRNA